CUACGGGACGCUCCAGUGGGGAAUCUUAGACAAUGGGGGAAACCCUGAUCUAGCCAUGCCGCGUGAGCGACGACGGCCCUAGGGUUGUAAAGCUCUUUCAGCAGGGAAGAUAAUGACGGUACCUGCAGAAGAAGUCCCGGCUAACUCCGUGCCAGCAGCCGCGGUAAUACGGAGGGGACUAGCGUUGUUCGGAAUUACUGGGCGUAAAGCGCGCGUAGGCGGAUUGUUAAGUCGGGGGUGAAAUCCCGGGGCUCAACCCCGGAACUGCCCUCGAUACUGGCAGUCUUGAGUUCGAGAGAGGUGAGUGGAAUUCCGGGUGUAGAGGUGAAAUUCGUAGAUAUUCGGAGGAACACCAGUGGCGAAGGCGGCUCACUGGCUCGAUACUGACGCUGGGGUGCGAAAGCGUGGGGAGCAAACAGGAUUAGAUACCCUUGUAGUC
rnacentral:rRNA from 1 species